rnacentral:rRNA from 1 species
UACAGAGACUGCAAGCGUUAUUCGGAUUCACUGGGCGUAAAGGGUGCGCAGGUGGCCAAGUGUGUUAGGCGUGAAAGCCCGGGGCUUAACCCCGGAAUUGCACCUAAAACUACCUGGCUAGAGCAUUGGAGAGGGGAGCAGAAUUCACGGUGUAGCAGUGAAAUGCGUAGAUAUCGUGAGGAAUACCAGAGGCGAAGGCGGCUCCCUGGACAAUUGCUGACACUCAGGCACGAAAGCGUGGGGAGCAAAAGGG